rnacentral:lncRNA from 1 species
ACGCCGGUGGCCGCCGCAGCCAGACGGCAACCUCUGCUGCGGGACACAGGCCGGACGCGCCUCUCCUCUCCACGCCUCACCACAGCACACACCCACGCCGGACGCCUGUGCUGACGCGCCCUGUCCUGACAUAGAUCGCCAAUCCGUCUGCAAAAAGGUGCGGCGACCGACAGACCGCCAGUCCCCUGGGCCCCAUGGACCGCUGCCGGCUGCCUCCGCUGCGGUGA